GUUUCUAAUCUUCAAGGCACAAGAUGCCCAUUAUGAUGUAGCUACUACCAUAAUGACAAUGAAAUCUCAUAUUCAAGCCCUUGAAGAACGAGCAAAUGCUGCAACAGUUCAGAGCACAAUGUUUGGGCAAUUGGUGGCUGAAGCUCUUCCCAAGAGUCUCCAUUGCCUGAAAGUAAAGCUCACAACUGAUUGGCUUAAGAAGCUGCCCCUUCAAGAUCUUGCAGAAGAGAAAAGAAAUUCCCCCAGAGUUGUGGAUAACAAUCUCUAUCACUUCUGCAUAUUUUCAGACAAUGUGCUGGCUACCUCUGUGGUUGUCAACUCCACAAUCUCCAAUGCUGACCAUCCAAAACAGUUAGUCUUCCACAUAGUCACAAAUGGAAUCAGCUAUGGAGCUAUGCAGGCUUGGUUCCUCAGUAAUGACUUCAAAGGGGCCACCAUAGAAGUGCAGAAUGUAGAAGAGUUCUCUUGGUUGAAUGCUUCGUAUGCUCCUGUUGUCAAACAGCUUCAUGAUGAAGAUUCACGGGUUUAUUAUUUUUCAGGUUAUCAAGAUAUGAAGGGAGAGCCAAAACUGCGGAAUCCUAAAUACCUGUCUUUGCUGAAUCAUCUUCG
rnacentral:misc_RNA from 1 species